rnacentral:lncRNA from 1 species
ACCAUUCCCCUACCACUCCUUCCCCAUUCCUUGGAGGGAGAGGGGAGGGGCCCAGACUUCUGGGUCAUGAUUCUCAGCAUGUUCAAUGUUUGCUUUGGUGCAUCGUUACUACCUUUGUGCUGCCUCAGACUCCAAUAUGGCUGCCCAAGAGGACUGGGUUUAGAUAGAUCAAUGUGCAGGGGCAGUGCACGACUUAGCAAUCUCGCACUCUGGGAAGUACCUGCAUUGCAUGGGUGUUGGUAACAACAUUAGUGUAGAACAUCAACAGCAACAUGGCUUAUAUUGGUCUGACACUCUACCUCUACCACCUCCUCCUCCAACAUUAUUAGUCCAAACAAGCACUCUCCUACAGGUACCAUCAGUCACACACAGGAACUCUCCUGCAGGUACCAUCAGUCACACACAGGAACUCUCCUGCAGGUACCAUCAGUCACAUGCAGACGCUCUCCUACAGGUACCAUCAGUCACACACAGGAGCUCUCCUGCAGGUACCAUCAGUCACACACAGGAACUCUCCUGCAGGUACCAUCAGUCACACACAGGAACUCUCCUGCAGGUACCAUCAGUCACACACAGGAACUCUCCUGCAGGUACCAUCAGUCACACACAGGAACUCUCCUACAGGUACCAUCAGUCACACACAGGAACUCUCCUACAGGUACCAUCAGUCACACAUGCAGGCGCUCUCCUACAGGUAUCAACAGUUACACACAGGCACUCUCCUACGAUACCAACAGUUACACACAGGCACUCUCCUGCAGGUAGUCACACCAUCAACCACGGGCACUACCUCAAAACCACACACAAAGGUUCCGCAUGUCUAACACCAGCACUGAUGCACCAACAUACAUACUAAAGUCUCACCAGUAACACGCCCUUGUAUUGGUAUGUCCCCUGAAAGUCCUCCCUGGGAUGAAAGCAUGUAACAGAAAUAUGUGUAGUUGAUGCGAGUAUCAAACACAAGUUAACAUAGCAGCUGUAGGUCUCCAGCGCCUUCUGUAGCUAGACACUCACUGAUGCUUGCCCAUUUGGCCUUGACCAUGACAAGUUCUCGGAGAGUUGUUCCUGUGGGCACUCCCUUCUGUUGCCGUGGUGCACAGCUUGUGCGCGACAGCCUCAAUGGUUUUACUCUGACUUUAUGUUUGCUUCAACCUUGACACAUCCGUCAUUUGUUGUUCAGUCUACCUCCUUCCUCCACAGUUCUGUGAUGAUCACUGACAGCAGAACAUCUUCUAGAACUUGGAAACAGAUUCCUGCAUCUUGAUUUGUUGUUGUUUUACAUUUUCUAUCAGUUUAGUUCAACUUUCAGAAAUGAGUAGUCAGUUCCUUCAAUGCCUGUUUAAGGCAUUUGUCAACACAUUGCUUUGCAUGACAACUUUCUUCUUUAUACAUUGUGCAAACUGUUCACUAGUGUAGGCUUAUAUCGUGGACACAUUUCACUAGUGUGUGUGAGAGUCACAUAUGUGAUUGUCACGGAAGCAUCACGUGUAUCACGUGAAUCACUUCUGGAUCACGUUUGUGUCACAUGUAUCGUGUGUGUGUGAUUGCCACUUUUGUCACCAGUGUUAUAUGUAACUGAAGCACACUUGCAGAUAGAUUCAUUAAAAACUUUAAUUAAUUUUAUGAAAAUGAGAAUUAAAACAAGCCAAGUAUCCACUAUGGAUGGAAGGAGAAACACCUACGCUGUCUCUGCAACAACUAGAAUACGGUUCAGGGCAUCAGGGCAGUGUAAACAGGACUAACUCCCGCAGCUAGAAUACGGUUCAGGGCAUCAGGACAGUGUAAACAGGACUAACUCACGCAGCUAGACUACUGUUCAGGGCAUCAGGGCAGUGUAAACAGGACUAACUCCUGCAGCUAGAAUACGGUUCAGGGCAUCAGGGCAGUGUAAACAGGACUAACUCACGCAGCUAGACUACUGUUCAGGGCAUCAGGGCAGUGUAAACAGGACUAACUCACGCAGCUAGACUACUGUUCAGGGCAUCAGGGCAGUGUAAACAGGACUAACUCCCGCAGCUAGAAUACUGUUCAGGACAUCAGGGCAGUGUAAACAGGACUAACUCCCGCAGCUAGAAUACUGUUCAGGGCAUCAGGGCAGUGUAAACAGGACUAACUCCCGCAGCUAGAAUACUGUUCAGGGCAUCAGGGCAGUGUAAACAGGACUAACUCCGCAGCUAGACUACUGUUCAGGGCAUCAGGGCAGUGUAAACAGGACUAACUCCCGCAGCUAGAAUACUGUUCAGGGCAUCAGGGCAGUGUAAACAGGACUAACUCCCGCAGCUAGACUACUGUUCAGGGCAUCAGGGCAGUGUAAACAGGACUAACUCCCGCAGCUUCAUAUACGAGCUGUCUGGAUAUGUAGGUUCCUUUAGUGACAUUUAUAAGCUGGUAUGAUGAAGAGGAAUAUUUGGUUAUGGAUAGACAUCUUCUUUAUUGCAGUAGAUAGGGCUUGCAGUUGCAUGUAUAAGCUGUAUAACAUAGCAGAAUGUCCAUAUACAUAUAUACAGGUCACGCUUCUGGAGCUGGUGUAAUACUGGAGCAGGAGACAUAUAGCAGACAAUAUAUCACUAUGCCAACCAGAUGGCUGAUGUCAACAAAGCUCCGUUCUAAUCAUCGCUCAUUCCAUUUGUAACCUUCUCACCCUCCAUACCUUCUGCAGUACUCAUGCUUCACUAAACAAGCUGAUCUCAUAGUUCCAUGUGCCAUCUUUCAAACAAUGGGCAAUUAGUUGUAAUUCAUCAAGAUUUCCCUUUCAAAAUCUUUCACACUGAUGGUGUAAUACUUCAGUAAUCACUUUAAAUAUUUCUGAAAUGGUUAAAGAAAUAUUCUUUUCUAAUUACUUCCAUCAUUGUUCCCUAUUGCAUCAGAUCAUCUCCCUGUUCAUCACCGUCACAUCACUCAAUGAUCUACAUCGCUGUUUAUCACUUAUGUGUGUUGUCAUGGACACAGUGUCACACUCUACUUUCAACUC